rnacentral:piRNA from 1 species
UCCCAGGACUAAACCAAGAUGAAGCCAAA